GGACUGUGGUUCAGUGGUACAGCACUCGCCUAGCAUAUGUGAGGCACUGAGUUCGAGCCUCAGCACCA
rnacentral:tRNA from 1 species